rnacentral:rRNA from 1 species
CAGAGGUUACUGCUAUCGRGAUUCGACUAAGSCAUGCGAGUUGAAUGUUCUUCGUGAACAUGGCGGACUGCUCAGUAACACGUGGACAACCUACCCUUGGGUCCGGCAUAAUCCUGGGAAACUGGGAAUAAUUCCGGAUAGGUCACCGAUGCUGGAAUGCGCGGUGGCCGAAAGCUCCGGCGCCCGAGGAUGGGUCUGCGGCCUAUCAGGGUUGUAGUGGGUGUAACGUACCUACUAGCCUACGACGGGUACGGGUUGUGAGAGCAAGAGCCCGGAGAUGGAUUCUGAGACACGAAUCCAGGCCCUACGGGGUGCAGCAGGCGCGAAAACUUUACAAUGCGGGAAACCGUGAUAAGGGGAUCUCGAGUGCCAGCAUAUAAUGUUGGCUGUCCAGAUGCCUAAAAAGCAUCUGUUAGCAAGGGCCGGGCAAGACCGGUGCCAGCCGCCGCGGUAACACCGGCGGCCCGAGUGGUAACCGCUAUUAUUGGGUCUAAAGGGUCUGUAGCCGGCCAGGUAAGUCCCUUGGGAAAUCUGGCAGCUCAACUGUCAGGCUGCUAGGGGAUACUGUUUGGCUUGGGACCGGGAGAGGUGAGAGGUACCUUGGGGGUAGGGGUGAAAUCUUGUGAUCCUCGAGGGACCACCAGUGGCGAAGGCGUCUCACCAGAACGGGUCCGACGGUAAGGGACGAAAGCUAGGGGCACGAACCGGAUUAGAUACCCGGGUAGUCCUAGCCGUAAACGAUGCUCGCUAGGUGUCAGUCACGGUGCGACCGUGAUUGGUGCCGUAGGGAAGCCGUGAAGCGAGCCACCUGGGAAGUAUGGCCGCAAGGCUGAAACUUAAAGGAAUUGGCGGGGGAGCACUACWRCGGGYGGAGCCUGCGGUUUAAUG